GGGUGGUGUGAAGCAUUUUGUUCUCAAAAGGAACGGAACUUCUCCCGAAGCACAUCGUCCAUUUUUCCACAAUUGCUAAUUAUCCUGCAACGAUAAUGUUACAUAAGAUAAUACAGCGAAAGCCUUCGGGCGUUGACAGUGAAAGGUGUCUAAUACUUCAGACAUUAGUCAAUGAAGUCAUCAGUUAGAACGCAAUUCUCCUGAUGUCAAUCACGAAAUACCUGGUGGGACGGCCAUCCCUUAGAGAGUUCGCAAGACUUUACAGAGUAGAGUAACGGUUGAGUAGCUGGCAACGAAAAGAGUGGUAAACUUAAAUUACCGACACUGACUCGAUACUACGGGCAAUCGUAGUGGACAAUGUGAGGAACCGAUUCAAUGGAUAAUCUCACGAAAGACGGGUCACAUAAACGUGUAGUCUCAGCGU
rnacentral:ncRNA from 1 species